rnacentral:rRNA from 1 species
UACGAAGGGGGCUAGCGUUGCUCGGAAUCACUGGGCGUAAAGGGUGCGUAGGCGGGUCUUUAAGUCAGAGGUGAAAUCCUGGAGCUCAACUCCAGGACUGCCUUUGAUACUGAGGAUCUUGAGUACGGGAGAGGUGAGUGGAACUGCGAGUGUAGAGGUGAAAUUCGUAGAUAUUCGCAAGAACACCAGUGGCGAAGGCGGCUCACUGGCCCGUUACUGACGCUGAGGCACGAAAGCGUGGGGAGCGAACAGG